rnacentral:tRNA from 1 species
GCCUAGUUAGCUUAGUUGGUAGUGCGUCUGCCUUGUAAGCGCUAGAUCGCGGGUUCUAUUCCCGCCCAGGGCG